GAUUCAAGUUUAGUUAAAGAAGAGCGGAGCGAGCACAUCUGGAGUUAACAACCAUUCGCUCGACAACUGUGUGCCAUAAAAGGAAAGGGGGCGUGGCGAUAGGUGGCGUUGGAUUUCACAGCCAGAGAACGUGACUGCAAUGGAUGCCUUAGCGAAUGCUGCCCAACUUCUACUGCCUACCGAAAGCUGUCCAGCAGCGCCGACCGCUCGCUACGUUUGUGCAUCGGGCGCGUCCUUUCCUUCAGUUCGUCCGGUCGUCGUCGCUUCUACCUCCGCUACAGUUGACAGUCGGUAAACAACAACUUUGAAUAAAUAAAAAAAAUCCUCGCACAGAAGAAGAAUUACAGCUGCGUAAACUGAACUUCCAUCCAGCCCUCCGGAGAGGGGACCGCGGGCAGGAGGCGGAGUCAACAGGUCGCAGAAACGCGCUCAGGCCUGCGUCGUUGCGACUGCUCCUGAAACGGCCGUCAUUGAUCGGGACGCCUCGGGACGUCCUGCUGACAAGUCACCUCAAAUUCCCUUGAUCUGAUGGCGCCUCUGUUCCCGCUCACGCCAACCCCAACCCCCCACCUCCCCUAUUUAAGGAGCGGCCGUUGAUUUGGACCUGGAUUUCCUCGAAGGCAGGGAGGAGGAAGAGGUGGAGGAGGAGCACGAGGAGGAUUGACGUUUUUGGGGGGCCGGCGUGAACCCACACCUUCCACCGCUAUUCACCAC
ensembl:lncRNA